UCCAGCCCAGCCGCUAUCUCUCCGCCCUCAAACGCCCAGCACGCCCCCUGUUCGGCGGCUACGUCGCCGCCCUCGAACGCCCAGCGCGCCGCCGCCUGUAGCCCCUCCCAGCACCCGCGCCCCCACCCACCUCAACCCCCGGAUCGAUCUACCGCUUCCUCAACCUACCUCGGCGCCAAUUGGAUUGCUGCGGCGACGGCCUCGUCGAUCCUCAGCUUCGGCACCUACAUCCUGAAGGGGUACGAUCUCGUGUUUGGUAUGGAUCUGAACGCCCACCCCUUCUCAGAUCUGCCUGCUACGAAUUCCUUAUUUGGGUCGGGAGCAAGCUGUAAUCUCAGUACUUGUACUUGUUCAUCCAUCUAAGUGUUUCACCUCUGUACUAGUACUUUCAUCCAUCUGAUUCUUUAACCUCUGAACCUUUCACUUGUACGUUUCUCUGAUUUCUCACCCCGCGGCCACCUUGCUGCUGCUGCUUCACUGACUUAUUGGGAUGGCACAUGAGGCAACAUGCUGCUGCGUUUGGAGAUUUCAUAAAAAAAGACAUUAGCAUGUAGCAAACCAUGAGAGGGUAUUAAACAAAACGGCCACAACACUAAACAGAUGGGUCACCAGUUUAGGAUCAGUAGCAGACCAUGGACAAUUUUGGUCUAAUGAAUAAAGCAAAGAUACCAGGGUAAAACAAAUCAGAUGAGGAAUGUUACACGCAAGAGUACUCACCCAUGAGAGCAGGACAAUAUGUCCUGUUGGAAUUGCUGCAUGUUCAUCGGCACACAGUCAGUCAACAACUCGAGGAGCACGACAAUGUGUGCACUUCACAAAAUUCACCACCUUCUCAUCCUAGUGCCACACAUGAAUCCAGCACAAACUGGUAGAAAUUAAAAUAAGUACCAUGCGCAAAUGUCCCGGAUUCUUAGUCCGAUUUUUAACUUGUUAUCUCGAAGUUCCAGCAGAAGAUUUUUUUAAUGAAUAUCUGUUGAUUGAGCGUUGUGUUUUCAAACUAGAUAAGAUUUUGUUCAUAGGCGCAUCUUAUAUCCAAUGGCAUUGAGUGUGGGUGGCUGGACCGUGGUCUUGAAUCUCCUCUCUCUAUUUCGAGUUAUGAUAAGCUGAUAGUGCAUUGGCAUGCUACUGUGUACCUCUUUGCCCUCUCCAUUCACAUGUUUCUUUUGGUCGGAUUGCUUGGUUCUGCGACCCAAAUUGCAGAGGAGACGUCCACAACUUGUACUGCUUGGUUUUCCUGUCCAAGACUCAAAUCUUCUCCUAGGUGGAUUCUCCUUUCUCCUUCCCUCAUUUAUCUUCUACGAAUUCAUGUCUAUUCGCAAUUUAUAUUGUGCUUGUGAUGUCAUUAUUUAAUCUGUCUUUACUUGUAAUGGUUUUAUUGACACUUAAUUAGUACUUUUCUUAAUCUUGUAUUACAUAAGGAAGUACGCAAGCACGGGAGAACAAGCUUGUCAAUUUUUUUGGAACAUGCCAAAGGGGCAAAGAAUAGUUGUAAAAUGCAAUGAAGAAAGCUAGCCUUUUGGAACAAGCUUGCCAAUUGUUUGGAACAUGCCAAAGGGAAUAAUGGAAUAGAAGAGGAAAAUCUCCAAUCAAAUCAUACUGGCAUUUCUCGGUUACAAAUACUACAUGGUAAAACAAAGGAUGGCGAGCAUGAUGAUGUCGGUCAGUUACAAAUUCAACAAAAAAUCAUCGUCACCACAAGACCUUGUUAUUGAUUAUGUACAAAAGGCAAGGGAAAUGAGGGAUUGCGCAGUUGAAUAUUUUUCAAGACUAGACAAGCAGGGGACUAGAAUUGAACGCCCACAUCCAGUUCGCUAAAAAAAGGCGUACUUCUUCAAUCAAGGACAAUUGGUGAAGCUUUCUCUUCAGGAUACUUAAUUGCUUGGCCUUCAACUUUUAUUUGAAACAAGGAUAAUUGACUUGCAGCUGAAUACUUCGGUUGGAACAGGAAGCAAAUAAAAUUUGAAGAUUUUACUUCCCAAUAGUUGUAGUUUACACUGAUAGAUUGAAAAAUGUAAUAUUAUUCAAAAGAUCUUUUUCUUUGGUCGAAUUUAUGCAAAUGCUAUGGUGUAAUAUUCUCCAUACUUGUGUUUUCUAUAGUUAAAUUGAUAUAAAUGAUAUGUUGUUGCA